CACGAGAAUAAAACUGUUGGGUCCCGGCGGAAGGAUACGGGGACUCGGGGAAAGGAGGUGAAGGGGAGUGAGGACUGGUCGGUUGGCAGUUGAGCAACGGAAGAGAGAGGGUCUGAGCUAACGAAGCAGGGGAAGCGCUGUAAGGCUACGGAGCUUGAGGACAGGGUUUGGUCUCCCUUCGCGAUCAGCGACUCUCACCCGGUGUUUGGCACCCAGCAGCAGUAGCAAUGUGAGCUCUCCCUCGGCAGCAGUGAGCGGAAAAUCCACGCCGGCGGGACCCGGGACGCAAGCCUCCAGCAGCGGUGGUGAGGAGCUGAGCUGAGGCGGCUGGCAGUGACGCAGAGAUCCGGAGGGAGAGGAGAGGAGCGGCCUGUUGACUCAGGAUCAUCCACAGCAGAAGCAUCACAGAGUAACCUGAUGGGGCCAGUAAGAGGAGAAGAACAACAACCAAUGCUGAAUCCAAGUUUGCAAGAUUUAUUCUAGCAUCAACAUCAUAUAGUGAUAAAAAUAUUUCCUUCUCAA